GGAUGACCAUAGUGGAACCGAACCCUAAAUUGGAAGAAAAAAAUGGUUGUGGAAAUUUAGCAUGAUAAAUAUGAAAUUAAAAAAAGAAAAUCUGUGAAAAACGUUUAAGUUGAGCAAAAGACAACAUAUAGAUUAACAAUCAAUAAAAGCCUAUCGAUGUAUCUAAGAAAUGAUAAUCUGCAAUAAAAUGUGACAAAAAAUACUGCCAUUCGUGUUAAAC
rnacentral:misc_RNA from 1 species